rnacentral:rRNA from 1 species
UACGAAGGGGGCUAGCGUUGUUCGGAAUACUGGGCGUAAAGCGUGCGCAGGCGGUUAUGUAAGACAGGUGUGAAAUCCCCGGGCUUAACCUGGGAACUGCAUUUGUGACUGCAUAGCUAGAGUACGGUAGAGGGGGAUGGAAUUCCGCGUGUAGCAGUGAAAUGCGUAGAUAUGCGGAGGAACACCGAUGGCGAAGGCAAUCCCCUGGACCUGUACUGACGCUCAUGCACCGAAAGCGUGGGGAGCGAACAGG